GGGGAUCAUUGCCCUACUCCUACGGGAGGCAGCAGGCGCGCAAAUUACCCACUCCCGACUCGGGGAGGUAGUGACGAAAAAUAACAAUACAGGACUCUUUCGAGGCCCUGUAAUGGAAUGAGUCACUUAAUCCUUAACGAGAUCACGGG
rnacentral:rRNA from 1 species